rnacentral:lncRNA from 1 species
AUGGGGUGCUGCCUCGACGGCGGUCGCGCUCCCGGCCCGCACCACGGCUCCCGCUUGCUCCGCUGCCACCAUUCAGGGUCAUCGUGUUGGACGCCGUCUGGGGAACGAAGAAUUGGGAUGGCAGCUCUAUCGCGGGAGCAGUGUAUCUUCUUUGCCGAGGCAACGCCAUCCACACAGAGCCACUCAGACCCCAAGCAUUCCUUGGCUACGCCAACAGGCCCUGCGAUGAUCAUCAGGAGCCUAGGUGUUGCCAGGAGCCUCACGACCCAAUAUCAGGACACGACCUUAGGAUCAUUUCCUGCUACACUUCUGGUCCUCUCAGCUCUCUCAGCUGCCCAGAAGGAACAAACAGCAGGCACGUGUAAAUUGUCAUCAUCCUUGGUUGGAUGGGGCAGGCUGAGUGAAUCUGUGGACUCUCUCUUGCUUCUGCUUCAGUAUCUUCAGGAUGAUGUUCUGUCCUGAGGAAGGUCAGAGAACCCAGCACAGCUGUGGUUCCAGAAAGUUCUUUGGGUGCUGGUCCAGUAUUCACAGAUGGUAUGCUGCAGACAGCCAGUGGCCAGCCACCAAGGAGUCAAGAAUGUCAAAGGGACAUCAUGCCAGCAGCUUGGUGUUUCUCAUCCCGCUGGCCCAGCUACCAGGAAAACCAGAAGAAUGACUCAAAAGCACCUGCCUAUCUUGAACAUGCCUGAACACAGAUACCAUGGUCACCUCAGACAGAUGGGGCUUGCCAAGCUGAGGUUCACAUAUGGGGAGGCCUACAGUUUGGGAAGGAUCUUUCAGCUCUUUCACUUGUGAACAUGGAGGACCAGGUGGUUGGAAGAUCAUUUGAGAUAGACCAAGGGCAAGCUUACAUGUGCAUAGAGCAGUCCCAAAGAGAUUGUUGUGACUAUCCACAUGUCAAUAGAUGAGAAUCUGACUGACACGGGCCAAUGGCUUCAUCUUCUUGGUCUUGGGUAGUCACAAGAGGCACUCUUCUUAGUCACCAGAUUGACAAAGCUACUCCUCCUAUGUAAGAACUGAGACUAGGAGCUGGGGUCUGGGACCAGCUUAGGUCUCUGGAAUAGGUCUAAACCUUUCUAUGGAGGCAAAAGCAACCCCUGCCAAGGGAGAAGUAUUUUUAUCGGUAGCUGGAAGUCUUUAGGAUAUUCUCCUAGUUCACUUCUCACCUGCAAAGUGUAGGUAAGGAAGAAAAGCAACCACCACUUGGAGUAAGGUGAUAUGCUGAGCUGGACCUGGUGGUACACGUGUAUAAUCCCAGUACUCAAGCCAGUUGGAGGCAGUCUGGGCUACAUAGUGAGCUCAAAGCCAGCCUGGGCUACACAAAUAGUUGUUACAGGAUAUUUGAACUUGUUUCUAGUUAUGUUGUACAUGGUUCAGCCCUUAGCACACACCUUUAACCCCUCUGGCUAGAAUACAGACAUAUUUUUAUGCUCACCUUUAAUCCCAAACUGAAGGUAAAGUUAGUUUGCAGAAGGACACACUUGUGUUUGAAAGUGAUAUCUAAUUGAGUGGCAGAAAAAGUGACAAAUCAGAGAAAGAUUUGACAGAAUAGGAUCUGCCCAUCUCUCAUG